rnacentral:rRNA from 1 species
UGGGGAAUUUUUCGCAAUGGGCGCAAGCCUGACGAAGCAACGCCGCGUGGAGGAUGAAGGUCUUCGGAUUGUAAACUCCUGUCGACCGGGACGAAUGCACCCGACCUAAUACGUCGAAGUGUUGACGGUACCGGUGGAGGAAGCCACGGCUAACUCUGUGCCAGCAGCCGCGGUAAUACAGAGGUGGCAAGCGUUGUUCGGAAUUACUGGGCGUAAAGGGCGCGUAGGCGGCCUUAUAAGUCUCGUGUGAAAGCCCUCGGCUUAACUGAGGAUCUGCACGGGAUACUGUAAGGCUCGAGUUCGGGAGAGGAAAGCGGAAUUCCAGGUGUAGCGGUGAAAUGCGUAGAUAUCUGGAGGAAUACCGGUGGCGAAGGCGGCAUCCUGGACCAUUACUGACGCUGAGGCGCGAAAGCUAGGGGAGCAAACGGGAUUAGAUACCCCCGUAGUCCCUGAGCGGGCUGGCAAGGCGCAU